rnacentral:rRNA from 1 species
AGCGAACGCUGGCGGCAGGCUUAACACAUGCAAGUCGAGCGGGCAUCUUCGGAUGUCAGCGGCAGACGGGUGAGUAACACGUGGGAACGUACCCUUCGGUUCGGAACAACUCUGGGAAACUGGAGCUAAUACCGGAUACGCCCUUAUGGGGAAAGGUUUACUGCCGAAGGAUCGGCCCGCGUCUGAUUAGCUAGUUGGUGGGGUAACGGCCUACCAAGGCGACGAUCAGUAGCUGGUCUGAGAGGAUGAUCAGCCACACUGGGACUGAGACACGGCCCAGACUCCUACGGGAGGCAGCAGUGGGGAAUAUUGGACAAUGGGCGCAAGCCUGAUCCAACCAUGCCGCGUGAGUGAUGAAGGCCUUAGGGUUGUAAAGCUCUUUUGUCCGGGACGAUAAUGACGGUACCGGAAGAAUAAGCCCCGGCUAACUUCGU